AGCGGACGCUGGCGGCAGGCCUAACACAUGCAAGUCGAACGAACUCUUCGGAGUUAGUGGCGGACGGGUGAGUAACACGUGGGAACGUGCCUUUAGGUUCGGAAUAACUCAGGGAAACUUGUGCUAAUACCGAAUGUGCCCUUCGGGGGAAAGAUUUAUCGCCUUUAGAGCGGCCCGCGUCUGAUUAGCUAGUUGGUGAGGUAACGGCUCACCAAGGCGACGAUCAGUAGCUGGUCUGAGAGGAUGACCAGCCACACUGGGACUGAGACACGGCCCAGACUCCUACGGGAGGCAGCAGUGGGGAAUCUUGCGCAAUGGGCGGAAGCCUGACGCAGCCAUGCCGCGUGAAUGAUGAAGGUCUUAGGAUUGUAAAAUUCUUUCACCGGGGACGAUAAUGACGGUACCCGGAGAAGAAGCCCCGGCUAACUUCGUGCCAGCCGCCGCCGUAAAAC
rnacentral:rRNA from 1 species